rnacentral:snoRNA from 1 species
GAGAAGUGAGGAGAAUAUCUAGUACAGUCUUAUUAUAAUGAAGACUGUCGGAUCCAACGAUGAUCUCCCAAAGGUU